rnacentral:tRNA from 1 species
AGAGACUUAAGUUAAAUAAACUAUAAACCUUCAAAGUUUAAUAUAUGCUCUAUGCAUAGGCUUUA